AAAUUGAAGAGUUUGAUCAUGGCUCAGAUUGAACGCUGGCGGCAGGCCUAACACAUGCAAGUCGAACGGUAACAGGAAACAGCUUGCUGUUUCGCUGACGAGUGGCGGACGGGUGAGUAAUGUCUGGGAAACUGCCUGAUGGAGGGGGAUAACUACUGGAAACGGUAGCUAAUACCGCAUAACGUCGCAAGACCAAAGAGGGGGACCUUCGGGCCUCUUGCCAUCGGAUGUGCCCAGAUGGGAUUAGCUAGUAGGUGGGGUAACGGCUCACCUAGGCGACGAUCCCUAGCUGGUCUGAGAGGAUGACCAGCCACACUGGAACUGAGACACGGUCCAGACUCCUACGGGAGGCAGCAGUGGGGAAUAUUGCACGUAGACAAGCCACAAUUAACAGCCAUGCCGUGUGAAGAGACUCGGGUUUGUAAAAUUACUUUCAGCGGGGAGGAAGGUACAAUACCUUUGCUCGGUGACGUUACCACCCGCAGAAGAAGCACCGGCUAACUCCGUGCCAGCAGCCGCGGUAAUACGGAGGGUGCAAGCGUUAAUCGGAAUUACUGGGCGUAAAGCGCACGCAGGCGGUUUGUUAAGUCAGAUGUGAAAUCCCCGGGCUCAACCUGGGAACUGCAUCUGAUACUGGCAAGCUUGAGUCUCGUAGAGGGGGGUAGAAUUCCAGGUGUAGCGGUGAAAUGCGUAGAAGUCUGGAGGAAUACCGGUGGCGAAGGCGGCCCCCUGGACGAAGACUGACGCUCAGGUGCGAAAGCGUGGGGAGCAAACAGGAUUAGAUACCCUGGUAGUCCACGCCGUAAACGAUGUCGACUUGGAGGUUGUGCCCUUGAGGCGUGGCUUCCGGAGCUAACGCGUUAAGUCGACCGCACGGGGUACGUACAAAGUUUAAAACUCAAAUGGGUGGCGGGGGCCGCACAAGCGGUGGAGCGUAAUGGUUUAAUUCUGAUGCAACGCGCAGAAGAGCCUUAUCCACGGAAGUUUUCAGAGAUGAGAAUGUGCCUUCGGGAACCGUGAGACAGGUGCUGCAUGGCUGUCGUCAGCUCGUGUUGUGAAAUGUUGGGUUAAGUCCCGCAACGAGCGCAACCCUUAUCCUUUGUUGCCAGCGGUCCGGCCGGGAACUCCAAGGCUGCCAGUGAUAAACGCUGGAGGAAGGUGGGGAUGACGUCAAGUCAUGUCCUUGUACCCGACCCGGGGCUACACACGUGCUACAAUGGCGCAUACAAAGAGAAGCGACCUCGCGAGAGCAAGCGGACCUCAUAAAGUGCGUCGUAGUCCGGAUUGGAGUCUGCAACUCGACUCCAUGAAGUCGGAAUCGCUAGUAAUCGUGGAUCAGAAUGCCACGGUGAAUACGUUCCCGGGCCUUGUACACACCGCCCGUCACACCAUGGGAGUGGGUUGCAAAAGAAGUAGGUAGCUUAACCUUCGGGAGGGCGCUUACCACUUUGUGAUUCAUGACUGGGGUGAAGUCGUAACAAGGUAACCGUAGGGGAACCUGCGGUUGGAUCACCUCCUUACCUUAAAGAAGC
rnacentral:rRNA from 1 species